rnacentral:rRNA from 1 species
UACAGAGGUCUCAAGCGUUGUUCGGAUUCAUUGGGCGUAAAGGGUGCGUAGGUGGCGCGGUAAGUCGGGUGUGAAAUUUCGGAGCUUAACUCCGAAACUGCAUUCGAUACUGCCGUGCUUGAGGACUGGAGAGGAGACUGGAAUUUACGGUGUAGCAGUGAAAUGCGUAGAGAUCGUAAGGAAGACCAGUGGCGAAGGCGGGUCUCUGGACAGUUCCUGACACUGAGGCACGAAGGCUAGGGGAGCAAACGGG